rnacentral:rRNA from 1 species
GACGAACGCUGGCGGCGUGCUUAACACAUGCAAGUCGAACGAAGAGCGAUGGAAGCUUGCUUCUAUCAAUCUUAGUGGCGAACGGGUGAGUAACGCGUAAUCAACCUGCCCUUCAGAGGGGGACAACAGUUGGAAACGACUGCUAAUACCGCAUACGAUCUAAUCUCGGCAUCGAGGAUAGAUGAAAGGUGGCCUCUACAUGUAAGCUAUCACUGAAGGAGGGGAUUGCGCCUGAUUAGUUAGUUGGAGGGGUAACGGCCCACCAAGGCGAUGAUCAGUAGCCGGUCUGAGAGGAUGAACGGCCACAUUGGGACUGAGACACGGCCCAGACUCCUACGGGAGGCAGCAGUGGGGAAUCUUCCGCAAUGGACGAAAGUCUGACGGAGCAACGCCGCGUGAGUGAUGACGGCCUUCGGGUUGUAAAGCUCUGUUAAUCGGGACGAAAGGCCUUCUUGCGAAUAGUGAGAAGGAUUGACGGUACCGGAAUAGAAAGCCACGGCUAACUACGUG